rnacentral:ncRNA from 2 species
UUGAUAUGAUCGGCAUCAAGCUUAGAAGCUGUCACCACAACGGUAAGCAAGUUAAGUCGGCAUCCUCGCCACUGUGCAGUAAAGCAUGGGAAGGCCGUUCGACUAAGUCGAAUGACAACUUGUAAGCCCGGAGACCGGCCUGAAGUGAUUUUUUAGA